UGGGGGAUAUUGCACAAUGGGCGAAAGCCUGAUGCAGCGACGCCGCGUGGGGGAUGAAGGCCUUCGGGUUGUAAACUUCUUUUGCUCUGAACAAGGCGCACCAUGGGGUGUGUUGAGUGUAGGGGUUGAUUAGCGCCGGCUAACUACGUGCCAGCAGCCGCGGUAAUACGUAGGGCGCGAGCGUUGUCCGGAAUUAUUGGGCGUAAAGGGCUUGUAGUUGGCUGGUUGCGUCUGUCGUGAAAGCUCAUGGCUUAACUGUGGUUUUGCGGUGGGUCCGGGCUGGCUUGAGUGCAGUAGGGGAGGCUGGAAUUCCUGGUGUAGCGGUGGAAUGCGCAGAUAUCAGGAGGACUACCUGUGGCGAAUGCGGGUCUCUGGGCUGUUACUGACACUGAGGAGCGAAAGCAUGGGGAGCGAACAGG
rnacentral:rRNA from 1 species